CAUAUGUUAAGCUUCUUCGUAGUUACAACUUUUACCGCAGAUGUAACGAACUGACAAAUGCUUCGAAUGGCGCGCGCGCGUCAACGCCUACACUUAAAUUUUAAAUAAAUAUUUUUAAAUAAAUGUUUAAAAUAAUACAUUAAAUGUAUUAACUUUCUUGCGCAAUUUCAUUUAAUUUCUUACGAUAUGGAGGGUUUAAUUACGUUUAAGAUAUCUAUUUGAAUCUUUUAAAUUCGAAGUUUUUUAAAAAAUUACCUUAAACUUUAUAAAAUUAAAUCGUUUUUCCACUUUGUUGUAUCAUAAAAUAGUUACUUAAAUUCAAACCUUACCGUCGUUUUGAAAUAUUCUAUAUUUUCCUCGUCUUAAAAAAUCUCCCUACAGAAAGAAUAAAGAAGAAUAAAAUCCCAUACGUUAAAUUUCACGUGAUUGAUGGAAUACAUAACGAUAACGAGAACUAACUAGCGACAACAAGCAACCAUUAGCAAGGACAACUGGCGACUAUAACUGUCGUCUCUAUGAUGUAUGGCGACUAAGGAGAACAGCCAGCAACUACGGAUGACAUGUAACAACCAACUGCCCCACUUCUAAAAGGCAACUAACUUGCAAACCCUUUAAUGGUUUCUGUAGCGUGAUAUACCCCUUGAACGUGGUUAAAGAAUGUGGUCGCCGCUGGACGGCGGUUUGACAGCAGAGCGAUCUCGCCAAUUCAAAGCUUGACAUUACAAACUACCGAGAAUCAUUAGGCUCGUUAUCGAGCAUCUAGCUUUCAGAAGGUGCUUUAUCAUAUGAUAUGACUUCACGAUAUUUUUAUAGCAAGAAGAAUGGCCAACCUCUAACAAAACAAAUUUUUACUAAGUGCUGCAUGUGAGCUGCAGGCCGGCCUACUAGGGAAAUUUGACGAAUGAGUAAACUAAAAUAUAUACGAAUAUAUUCGUUAUAUCAUAAAAUGCCCGCAUUAUGUUCUCUAACACCAUAGAGGAAACUAAAUUUAUAUAUUAAAAAAUUGGAAUACCUGUUAUAAGAGAGUUAAUUAAAUUCUAACCUAUCGAUGACUCCAUAAAAACCUUUAUUUCCUAAAAAUAUAUAUCUUCCAAAUUCUCCUUAGAAAGUAUCAUAGAGAAAAUAUGAAACCUGAAAAGUACAUCACGCUGAUGCCUCGAUCAACCCUCGUGCUUCGCAGUCCAUGUGUCCGAGCGAUGAAUUCCCUCCAAACAAGGAAAAACCAAAGAGAGGUCUUUUUCGAAGGACGUGAGAGGGUAAGGGAAGCAACGGGAACGAUGAUCACGCGAUAUACUGGCGGCGUACGUAUAGAACGGCUGUUGCGAGAGAGUUCGCAAGAAACAAGAAGAAAAAAGGAAUCGUAGGCCGACGCGACUAUACGCUGUCGACGGACAAACAGCGACUGAGCCUAACUGAAACGAACUCUGUCGCAGUAUGAGCACAGGCUACGUUCGCGGGUCGAUCGAACACGUUCUGCGCCUUUCCUCGGCACCAGCGUCAAAACCACCCUCGACGAGCGCAACGCACUGGUGCACCUGCAAUAUUAACCACUGGUCUUUCCUUUUUCGCGCGAUAUUAUAUCAGCACCUAUGAUACCAUUUCAAAGACCGCAAUCAAAACAUUAAAUACCGCAUUAAAGCCAUACAAUAAUUCGCAAUAUUCAUUCGUAAACGUUAUUGUAUAUGUGCUUAAUUAAUCGUUAUUAUGUUUCGAAUGAUUUACUACCUCAUAUUCCAUAAGCAGAUAUAUGGUUCAUUUUCAUCUCAAGUACGAUAUAAUUUGUAACAAAUAUUUAUAAUUCACAAUGUAAAAUAUUUAUAAUUCAUUGGAAAUAUUAUUCUAUCACGGUA